GAUGAACGCUGGCGGCGUGCUUAACACAUGCAAGUCGAACGGGAUCCAAGGGGUGCUUGCACUUUUUGGUGAGAGUGGCGAACGGGUGAGUAACACGUGAGUAACCUGUCCUUUUCUUUGGGAUAAGCAUUCGAAAGGGUGUUUAAUACCUUAUGUUCUGUCUGCCUCGCAUGGGGUGGGUGGGAAAGACUUUGGCCGGAUUUGGGUGGGCUCGCGGUCUAUCAGCUUGUUGGUGGGGUGAUGGCUUACCAAGGCUUUGACGGGUAGCCGGCCUGAGAGGGUGGUCGGUCACAUUGGGACUGAGAUACGGCCCAGACUCCUGCGGGAGGCAGCAGUGGGGGAUAUUGCACAAUGGGCGAAAGCCUGAUGCAGCGACGCCGCGUGGGGGAUGAAGGCCUUCGGGUUGUAAACUUCUUUUGCUCUGAACAAGGCAUGCCAGUGGGUGUGUUGAGUGUAGGGGUUGAUUAGCGCCGGCUAACUACGUG
rnacentral:rRNA from 1 species